GAAAUGCGAUAAUUAAUGUGAAUUGCAGAAUUCAGUGAAUCAUCGAGUCUUUGAACGCACAUUGCACCCCCUGGUAUUCCGGGGGGUAUGCCUGUCCGAGCGUCAUUGCUGCCCUCAAGCACGGCUUGUGUGUUGGGUCGUCGUCCCCCCCCAGGGGGACGGGCCCGAAAGGCAGCGGCGGCACCGCGUCCGGUCCUCGAGCGUAUGGGGCUUUGUCACCCGCUCUUGUAGGCCCGGCCGGCUGCUGGCCGACGCUGAAAAGCAACCAACUAUUUUUCCAGGUUGACCUCGGAUCAGGUAGGGAUACCCGCUGAACUUAA
rnacentral:misc_RNA from 1 species